rnacentral:lncRNA from 1 species
AGGCGCUGUCUCCAAAUGCAGCUACACCAGGUGGCUACAGCUUUUCACUUCCGAGUUUGGAGAGACCGUGAUUCAGCCCACAGCACUCAAGUGUGAUUGGAGUAUUCGAAGGACAGUGAGGGAAACAGGACCACACAUGAUGGCUCUUCAAGUCCCACUCAGAGAAUGCGUGAUGCUAUAGAGACCCAGCAAAGGGAGGCUAGAGAGACGGCUCCGUGUUAAGAUCACUUAAUGCUCUCCCAGAGGACCUGAGUUCGGUUCCCAGAGCUUACUCCAGGGUUCACAACUGCCUGGACCUUCAACUCCAGGGCAUCUAAACCCACUGCCCUCUUCUGGCCCUCACAGGUAUGUACACAAUGUGACAUAUACUCACAGACACAUGUAUGUACAGCUAAAAACACAGAAAUCUAGGAACGGGAUCAGUCCUUGAGAUUUAAUACACAAAGGGUAUAUACGUGUAUGUGUGUGUGUGUGUGUGUGUGUGUGUGUGUGUGUGUGUAAGAGAGAAGUAACUGUUGGGCAUCUCUCCCCAGUUGUUGUCCACCUAGUUUACUUUUAAGUUUUGUUUUGUGUAUGGUGUUUGCACACCUGUGUAUAGACAGACGCAGGAGCACAGGCCAAAGGAGGGCAUUGGGUGUUACCCUCGGCUUUAUUCCUUUGAAACAAAGUCUCUCCCUGAACCUGAAGCUUUUUUUUUUUUUCAGCUAGACUGACAGCUUACGAGUCACAGCAGUCCUCCUGUUCCCGCUCCCCACAGACCUGCAGCUACAGGCCCACUGGAGACCAUGUCCAGCUUGCUACCUGGGUGCUGAGAUUUGAACCCAGGUCCUCAUGGUUGUGCUGCAAGGGCUCUCAGCCAUCUCUCAGUCCUCCAAGAGAAAAAUUUAAAAGCC